rnacentral:rRNA from 1 species
UACGUAGGGUGCGAGCGUUGUCCGGAAUUAUUGGGCGUAAAGAGCUUGUAGGCGGUUUGUCGCGUCUGCCGUGAAAAUUCGAGGCUCAACCUCGAACUUGCGGUCGAUACGGGCAGGCUAGAGUUCGGUAGGGGAGACUGGAAUUCCUGGUGUAGCGGUGAAAUGCGCAGAUAUCAGGAGGAACACCGAUGGCGAAGGCAGGUCUCUGGGCCGAUACUGACGCUGAGGAGCGAAAGCGUGGGGAGCGAACAGG